GCCCCUGUAGUGUAGUACGGUCUAGCAUUCAAGACUGUCAAUCCAAUCGGAUUGAUCGAUUGAAACAGACCUCUUGAGACCCGGGUUCGAAUCCCGGCGGGGGCG
rnacentral:tRNA from 1 species